AUUUGAGUGCCUUAUUGGAAUGAUGUUGAGUCCACAUGUUCAGACAGACAGGAAGUGGCUGAUUAAAUCACCUUUAUUAAAAGAUACAAGAUGCUGGAAUACCAACACUUUAGAAUGCAGAAGUACUUUACACACAGGCCCAGGCUUGUGUCCAACAUGGCCCCUUAUUCACUAUAUAGUGCACUACUUUACACACAGGCCCAGGCUUGUGUCCAAUAUGGCCCCUUAUUCACUAUAUAGUGCACUACUUUACACACAGGCCCAGGCUUGUGUCCAAUAUGGCCCCUUAUUCACUAUAUAGUGCACUACUUUACACACAGGCCCAGGCUUGUGUCCAAUAUGGCCCCUUAUUCACUAUAUAGUGCACUACUUUACACACAGGCCCAGGCUUGUGUCCAAUAUGGCCCCUUAUUCACUAUAUAGUGCACUACUUUACACACAGGCCCAGGCUUGUGCCCAACCAAACUCACAUAGAGGCUGUAUCCAAUAUGGCCCCUUAUUCACCAUGUAGUGCACUACUUUAGACCAGAGCCCUAUUCCCUAUAUAGGGCACUACUUUAGACCAAAGCCCUAUUCCAUAUAUAGUGCACUACUUUAGACCAGAGCCCUAUUCCCUAUAUAGUGCACUACUUUAGACCAGAGCCUAAUUCCAUAUAUAGUGCACUACUUUAGACCAGAGCCCUAUUCCCUAGAUAGUGCACUACCUUUAACUACAGCAUUAUUCCAUAUAUAGUGCACUACUUUAGACCAGAGCCCUAUUCCCUAUAUAGUGCACAACAUUAUACUACAGCCCUAUUCCCUAUAUAGUGCACUACUUUAUACUACAGCCCUAUUCCCUAUAUAGUGCACUACUUUUAACCAGAGCCCUGAAUAGACCAGACACCUAAUCAUCUAUAUACAUCUUAAUCUAGCAUUGUGUUUCUCCUAUUAAUCACCCUGUGAAUGACUCUCUAUGGGUCCAGGUUAACACUCUAUAAGGGGAACAGAAUGACUCUCUAUGGGUCCAGGUUAACACUCUAUAAGGGGAACAGAAUGACUCUCUAUGGGUCCAGGUUAACACUCUAUAAAGGGGAACAGAAUGACUCUCUAUGGGUCCAGGUUAACACUCUAUAAAGGGGAACAGAAUGGCUCUCUAUGGGUCCAGGUUAACACACUAUAAAGGGAACAGAAUGACUCUCUAUGGGUCCAGGUUAACACUCUAUAAGGGGAACAGAAUGACUCUCUAUGGGUCCAGGUUAACACUCUAUAAGGGGAACAGAAUGACUCUCUAUGGGUCCAGGUUAACACAUUAUAAAGUGAAUAAGAGUCCAUUUGGAACACAGCCACAGUAGUAAUAACAAAGGUAUUUUUUGAUCAAAAUCCCUGUAAAUAUCUGCGGUAUCCUUGCCAACCCAUUUCAAUCUGCAGGUUGUUUUUUUCUUUUCAAAAUCACAACGUGACAGUAAACCAGUCUUUAAAGAAAAAAGAGAUCUGAAACCAUGCAACACUCAACAAGCCCACGUUACAGUUACUUCUGGGUUCGCCACCGUUUUGAAUGGCAUCAUCAAUAUCAUCAUCAUCAUCAUCAUCAUCAUCAUCAUCAUCAUCAAUAUCAUGAUCAUCGUCAUCAAUAUCAUGAUCAUCAUCAUCAAUAUCAUCAUCAUCAUCAUCAAUAUCAUGAUCAUCAUCAUCAAUAUCAUCAUCAUCAAUAUCAUGAUCAUCGUCAUCAAUAUCAUGAUCAUCAUCAUCAAUAUCAUCAUCAUCAUCAUCAAUAUCAUGAUCAUCAUCAUCAAUAUUAUCAUCAUCAAUAUCAUGAUCAUUAUCAAUAUCAUGAUCAUCAUCAACAAUAUCAUGAUCAUCAUCAAUAUCAUCAUCAUCAAUAUCAUGAUCAUCAUCAAUAUCAUGAUCAUCAUCAUCAUCAUCAAUAUCAUCAUCAUCAUCAUCAAUAUCAUCAUCAUCAACACUUACAACACCAUAAGACUUCACACAACAGUGACAAGGACGUUUUGACGUUUUUUUGGGGGGGGGAGACAGAAUCGAUCAAAUCUCGAAGACCUCAUCCACUGAGUUUCCAUGACAGGACAAAACGGGUCACGUCGUAGAUAGAACGGGGUUCUCUUCUGUUUCAUUAGUUCGUUACCCGAGUCCAUCGCUGCCUUUAGGCCUCAUGCUUGGUGUUAAAGGGGGACAGUGACGAGCAACAGAUAUACACUACACUUCAGCAAACUAACCACUGGCACCAAACACUAACCUGCUGCUCCCAGAUCAGUGUCUAACCUCCGUGUUGGCACCAAACACUAACCUGCAGCUCCCAGAUCAGUGUCUA
ensembl:lncRNA